AUUUUUCAAUAUAUGAAAUUUAUUGUCCAAUUGGUUUCCAUACAACACCCAGUGCUCAUCCCAAAAGGUGCCCUCCUCAAUACCCAUCACCCACCCUCCCCUCCCUCCCACCCCCCAUCAACCCUCAGUUUGUUCUCAGUUUUUAAGAGUCUCUUAUGCUUAACACAGAUAAAAAUUUUAACUCCAAUUGUAAAGAUCCUGUUUUUGUUUUCCUCUUCUAUUUAAGAAACGGAAGCUGAAAUUCUAAUGUGAAUUCAGUAAAUGGGUGUUAAAUAAGCUCACGCCUUAAAAAAGUCAGCAGAUACAUGAUGUCAUCGGCUUUUCCGAGGAGAGGUAAAAUUGAGACAACUUGGGAGAACAGCAGGAAUUUGUUAUUUGCUUUGGGGCUUGUCUCAGAAACAAUGAGCUCCAGUCUGGACGGCUGAAGUACAGCUAAGAAAAGAUUUGACCUCACGUGUGAACGUGUUGACCGCUCUACAGGGAGGAGGCCAAGGCCAUCAGGCCACCUGCUUGAAAGAGUCAGUGACAAGCACACUGGGCUGGCACAUGUUGCUUUUGCUCCAUAAGGAAUGUAUUUCCCAAUUUUUCAUCUAAUAAGCUUUUUCCACCCUUUAAAGAUACAUAAAUAAAUGUAUGGGCAAAUGCUACAAACUAAUUUUUGUAACAUUAUCUGGUGCUAUUGCAAGAGUCUAAAUGUAUUUGGUUCAGACUUAAAUUCUGUGUGUAUGUUUGUGUGUUUAAAGAAAAACUCAAUUUAUAGGACCGUAUCAAUAUUAGACAGACAGAUAUUUCCAACACCCCAUCUAUGCUAUGAACAGUGCAAAAAAGGCUAAUGGUUUGGCACAAAACGGUAAGAGGAAAAAUGCUAAGGCUCUAGAAUGGGAGACUGGGGCCAGCUUGUGCAGUGCUGUGCUUCUGAAUUUAGAAUAUAUUUUAUCUUCCAGGACAAGGCGGGGCAAUAUAUUUACCUUAGAAAUGGAAAGCAGCCUAAGUAUUGGCUACCUGGAGAGCCACGCUGGAAAGUUUCCCCUGCUGAAAGCAGCUUUAUUGAACAAGUGUGCCCUGCAAGCCAGGAGUGGGAGCGGCCACCCACUUGCUGAGCAUUUGUCAUUCUUUGUCCCGUGGUCCAAGACCCACUGGAGCCUUCUGGCAGAGAAAAUGGCUUCACUGGGUCUGUGCUUAAGAAAGUCCCGUCAACAGUGAGGAGAAUGAGUCAGAGAAGAAGCAAUUAAUGUAAUUGAUCUUGCCUCAUAUGUAGCUCUUUUCUAGACACAGGAGACGAUCGAUAUCUCCCUUCAUACUUUCAGCUCGGCACUUGUCAGUUUGGGGGAAGGUGGGGCGAUCUGGCUCCUGGGACAGGAUUCCGUGACAGCAGAUGGCUUCGCCCACCCGCAAAGGAGGGCGGUCUUCUUUCAGGGCCCUUGCCUUGUAGAAAUGGGACCAUAAGUUUGUUUUCACAUCUCAGAUUACAGGACCAAGGCUGUGUGUUUAAUAAGACACAUUUUCUGAACCCCAAGCUGAGUAUCGUUCUCCUGAAUAUUACACAUUUGUUCAGGAAAGUGAAUUCUUAUCUUUUGACCCAGAGUACCUUCCAGAAUCUGCUGGUAUCUGAGCACAUUUCUCCAAAAUCAGAAGCAUUUCUCUAAAAGAGAAAUAGCAGCCAAUGGUGCAGUGUGUCCCUUGGAGUUCCAGCAGGAAACAGAUGGCACUCCCAAACUGAGUAAGUGAGGAAUGUUCAUAAAAGAAUAAGUUACAAAGGUGUGGAACGAUCUAGGGACAUGCACAAGGGAUGGUGAAGGACCUUGGGACUACAAAAGCAGAAGGCGAUGGUGAUUGGUAAGCACUUCAUCACGCCCAGGUCUGAAGGGAAAUGUGCUAGUUACAGAUCUCAGGGUUGGUGGUUAUUGGGAGAGGGUCACUGGAGGAGAGCUGUGACACUGGAUGGAAAGAUGUGGCCAAAUUGUGUCCACUGCAGAAAGGGAAUUAAAUGCAUCGCCUCCCUUUCCUCCCACUGGGGCUGGGAGCUCAUUGAUAUGGUUUGUGCAGAUCAGCCUGCCAGACACAGACUAGGACAGGGAAAGGUGGGGGUGUAUCGGGAGGGCAGAGAGAAAAUAACCUUCUCAGUGCAGUUUUGGCAUGCAGAAAAUUAUAGUGAUGGGACAUCAGGGAGAUGUUGGACUCCAAAGCUCCAAGCUCAUAUUCUUCCAUACAAUCAUGGGGGAAAAAACACUCAAAAAACCCUUGCCCAAAUGGCAACAGCCUUAGAUUCAAGUGGUGGCAAAUUCAGGUCCCAGUUCUACCUUUUAAAUCAGAGGGAGAGAGCAGACCUUAUCUGCAAAUUACUGUGUACAUCUGUUCUAACUCGGCUGGGGAUUCCUGAAGGACUGACUUGCUCUCUCUUUCUCGCCUAACUCAGAACACAGGCCAGAAGAGCUGCAGGCUUUGCUCAUAAAAGCAACCAGGGAAAACACACCUGUACACACCUGACGUAACAGAUUCCCACCGGAGACAUACGAGAGACCAUCUGAGGCCUGGAGGACAGAGUGGGCCUGGAGAAUUGCCCUCUUUCACACCUUCUGUGCAACAACCUGCUCCGUGGGAACGCUCGCAGUCCAGGGAGCACUCCGAGGUGUCUUGACAGCCGGGCUGGAGGAGAGCCCAGGUCUUCCGAAGGUGAAAGAGCUGUGAGCCCACAUCCUUCUGGUAAAGACACUUCCCCUACACUUCACAACAAUAAACCCACUUUCACAAUAUGUAGCUUAGAUUUUCAGGUGACUCUUACAACAAUCAUUUCUCGCAACCAUUUCAUUGUGAGUUUAGGAUAUUCCUACUAGCAAUUCACUCAUUUUCAGUAAAUGGGAAAACCAAAGCAAGAAAUACUCAAUUGAAGCGGAAAAGCACAUUACUUGACUUCUUUUCCUACUGACUACCGACAUGUUUUUCUCCUCCUUUAGAUUACAAGCAUAAACACUGAUAUAAGGGCAAGCGGCUUGCCUUUUGGGUCUAGAGUGUUUUUGAUGAUAACGGCACAGGGAGCCCCAGGGUGGAAUGUCUUAGCAGCAGUUAAAGGUUAACAAGAUGAAUCGAUAGGCCCAUUGAUGUCUCUGAAGGAGGAGCCACAUCAUGCAAGGCAGGUCCAGGGGUGAAGUUACAGGAACCUCCCAGCCUCUCUCUCCAAAUUUCCAGACACAGCAGGUGUCAAUUACAUCUGCAGCCUGGGGCAGAAGCCCAGCCAAGUCUCGGAGUAAAGGAUGUUCAAAGCUGGAAGGCACAUCAUAGACCACAGAGACCAACUUCCCUAACUUACCGCCUAAGGCCUAUGUAAGGUACCUUUGAUUAGGUGCCAGAAUAUUUCCAAGUAUUCUAUACAUUGUUAAUCAUUUUCCUAUACGUUAUAUCAUUUGUUUCUCCCCCCAAACUUGAACUGCCAAUGUUUGUCCCAUUUUGCAGUUGAGGAAACCGAGGCUUGGAAAAGGCUAAUGGCUAGUUCUAAAGCAUGGAACCACGGGUAGGUGGGGCAGAGACUUGAGGCUCAGUUUUAUAAAUUUGGGGCUCUUGCCACUGGGUUAUGCCACUUUGUUGGCACCUCGAGCAGGAUAUCCUCCAGGAAACAUUUACUGUAUGCUUUCUAGAUGUCUGGGAUUGUGCAUAGCUCUGAAUUCUGUGCUCCUGCUACAUCUAGGUCAUUAAUAAAGUGGUGUGGAUAAAUUGCAA